UAGUUGGUGGAGCGAUUU
rnacentral:ncRNA from 2 species